GCUCUCGGGAAGAUCCUUACCGCUGUGUCAGCGCUCAGCCUGCGGCAGUCUAUUCAACGGAGCAAGAUGAAGCUCAGCACGGAUUCAAGGGAUGAGGAGUUAGCAUCCACCGCUAGAUGGAAGGACCUGCAAAGACACGAUGCAAAGGAAGAGGAAAUCGGGGCCAUCACCAGGGCAGUGCAUCACAGCAGACAGAGACAGAUGAACGUUCAGAAAACGGACAGUUGGUUCUUAUUAUUCACAGCAGACCUGUGUUCUGUAAAGUCACCACCACACUGAAUUAGCGAGUGCGGAAGGAUUGCUGUCGGGAAACACGGGGCUGGGUUCCUGGGAGCCUCCAGGUCACAAUAUCUUCAUCACUUCAAAGGGCAUCUAUGCUGUAAAGGUUUGUUUGCCGACCUCCUUGUGAAACAAGCUCAUCAGCGUUAAAAACGUACCCUCCCACAAAACUCUUUUCUUGUAUAACACUUGGUAUCUGUAAAACUCCUCUGAUCAUCAGGGCUUACCCGGACCAGGGUCUGGUCUGAUCUCCAGUGCAGCAGGCUCACUUGGCCCACUGCGCUGUGGAAGGAAAAUGUUAUAGAGUUUCUAAGGAUGUAUUUCUCUUUCAUUUGUGACUUUAGAAAAUGAUGCCACAUCACCCAGCCAUGCCCUUCACUGAGCCGCUCUGGUUUCUCAACUGGGAAAUGUGAUAACCCCUUUCCCUGGCUGGGCCCCUGCCUCACGGUACUAGUCUGGGUUCAGUGGCCCAAGUGACACUGAAAAUACCAGUUUUUCCUUCAUUUGAGGUCACUUUUAUGUGUUUCUAACUGUGACCAGAAGAUGGCGCCCAUUCCCAACAAGUGGCCAAGAGCAGCCUGAGUCCCUCACAUUGGUGCUUGUAGCCAGUUGCUACAGUGUUAUGUGAGUAAUUACUAAUGGCCCUGCUACCAUCCUGAUAACCUUGCCACGCUGGUACUUGGAUAGUGUGUUCCUGAACUUCCCAGCAAGUGGGGAAGCACCCGAGAGCACUGGUUUGCAGACAGCGUCCCGUGUCCAGGGCCUGGAACGCCAAAGGCUUGGCAGGGUCUGGGUGUGCUUGCGGGGGCGGGGACAGAACCCCAGCUGCUCUUCAUCCCUCUUCCAUUUCGUUCUCUUCCCACUGCAAUUCCAAGACUUUCCUACAGACAAGACCCUCCCCCUAGCAUGGCUGCUGCUUGCUGAGAGCAGGUUACAUUCCAGACGCUGGAGGGACCCUUUCCGUGAAUAGUUGAAGUCUCUGAACAGUCCGGGAGGAAGGGGUUUAGAAGCUCUUUCAAAAAGGAGGAAGCACAGGCUUCAAAAGAGUCCCAGCAGGUGGCAGGGGAGGGAUUCUAGUAAGGCAGCCAGAACAUCUCUGUGCACCUCUUUCCUGGCGCAGCACGGAGUCCAAGGAACUGAGAACUCAGAGGUGGGUGAGCUCUGGAUCCCUGGGCUCCUGGAGUUCACCAUCCAGUUAGAGAGAGGGCCACACAUGCAUGCGCGCGCGCACACACACACACACACACACACACACACACACACUCUCUCACACACUCUAUUACCAGCAGAUUGUGUGAUACAUGAGGACACGCAGGUCUGAAGAACUUGCAAAGGGGCGCUGCUCUCAGCCCUCCCGAGUUUCCACGUUGUUUUGCUGUUAGAGAGAAAUGCUUGCUCCCAGCAAUGCAGGAGGGAUUGUCCCACAGCAGUGCUUCUCAAACUUACUUGGGUUCUUGCUAAAGAGGCAGGUGUGGAGUGGGGCCUGGGAUUCUGAAUUUCUAACAGCCUGCGGGGUAGGGUGGAUACCGCUGGUUCAGAGACCACAGGGAGCAGCAAGGGCUGCUGGAGGGUUGGCCCAGGACCUCUUAGGGAUGGCCCAUGAGCUAAGAAUGGUUUUACAUUUCCAAAGGGCUGUAGGAAAAAAAGAAGGAGAAAAAGAAGAAUAUGCGGCAGAUCAUAGGUAGCCCUCAAAACCUAAGAUAUUUGCCAUCUGGCCCUUUAUCUAAAAAACUCUGCAGACUCUGGGACUAAAGCACUUCUGCGCCCUCCCCCGUCCCCUUGGACUCCAUCAGAAGAACUGUCAUAAGCUUCCAGCCUCCUUCAAGGAGAUGAAACCUCAACGCCUCUGGCCGGGUCUCAUUGUAAUGCCCCUUCUCCCAUCUUGACCAGCCUGGGUUGCUCCCUCCCUGCUAGAGAAGGAAUGUGCCCAUUUUUCACCCAGCCUUCGCAUACCCUGUUCCCCAUGCAAAUAAAGCAUCCUGCCCAAGACCAAUCAGAAGGUCUAAUUGGGUCCCCACUCAGGUCGCCUUGUGGGGUAUAAAGACUAUUGCAGAGUGAGUCGGGGCUUCUCUUUUUAACCGGUGUGCACAGGAGUCCGCUCUCCCUCUCUGAUGAUGUGCUUUUGCUUUAAUAAAUUUGUAAAAUGUCCACCAUUCCAAUGCUUUGUUAUGGUGAGACAGGGACCAGCAACCUGUGAUGCUAUCACAACAAGUCCUCUUCAUGGCAGUUUGGAAGAGAAAGCCAGGCUCACUCAGCUUUGCUCUGUGCCCCCAGCCUUCUGCCUGCAGGAAGCCUAUAUUCUGGGAGAAGCGGGUUGGGACUCUGCUGUGGGGGAUGGGCCUGCGGUGGUCCCACUGAUGCAGUGACGAGGUAAAUGGGGAGUCAAGUGAACCCACUUUCCCGCACACCUGGGGCCAGCUCUCCAGGCCACUCAUCUGUCAUCA
rnacentral:lncRNA from 1 species